rnacentral:rRNA from 1 species
UUAAAUUGAAGAGUUUGAUCAUGGCUCAGAUUGAACGCUGGCGGCAGGCCUAACACAUGCAAGUCGAACGGUAACAGAAAUCAGCUUGCUG